GUAGGUGGCAAGCGUUGUCCGGAAUUAUUGGGCGUAACGCGCGCGCAGGCGGUUCUUUAAGUCUGAUGUGAAAGCCCACGGGCUCAACCGUGAGGGUCAUUGGAAACUGGAGAACUUGAGUACAGAAGAGGAAAGCGGAAUUCCACGUGUAGCGGUGAAAUGCGUAGAGAUGUGGAGGAACACCAGUGGCGAAGGCGGCUUUCUGGUCUGUAACUGACGCUGAGGCGCGAAAGCGUGGGGAGCAAACAGGAUUAGAUACCCUGGUAGUCCACGCCGUAAACGAUGAGUGCUAAGUGUUAGGGGGUUUCCGCCCCUUAGUGCUGCAGCUAACGCAUUAAGCACUCCGCCUGGGGAGUACGGCCGCAAGGCUG
rnacentral:rRNA from 1 species